rnacentral:lncRNA from 1 species
ACAAGUUCUUGGGGUCGUUCAAGCCAAGCUUAUACUGGAAGCCUUAGCCUGUGCUGAUAUCUUAAGACUGAGAUUUUCCAUACGAGAUGUGGUGAAUUUGCUUUCGUCAACAUUUUCCUUAAGUAGGCUGUUGAAAGCUACCGUAAAGCAAUCCUCCUCAAGUAAGACGCAUUCCACAAAAAGGCUGCAGUGUCGCGGGCUCUAACAAGGUCCAAAUCCCAUCUUCAUUAUAGGAUCAGUGGCCUUAACUCUGUUUAUUGAGUUCUGGUUUCCGCGGUUGCAACUAUCGUAGGGGUCUUACUGCCAAAAGCAGAAAUCAAGCCUAUUCUCUAUGUUGAAGCGAAGUCAUAUUGUACGCUACGAGACCAUUUCCUUUUAUGUUCAAAUUCCAUUCCGGAAUGAUUUCAAAAGGUUUGAAAAGAGAGAGCACCUUAUGAUUCAUUGAGCCGAAGCCGAUUGAAGCAUUCUUCGUAAUGACUCACUCUUUCAAGUCCUCUAGGCAAAAAAGGAACUAAACACGUUACUCUUCUUUGUCUCUCUGCAGUUCGAAGUAUUUGAUGCUAUUAGUAGAGAGCUAAAGUUCCAGCAGAAUCCUAAUCAUACUAUUGCUCGUACCUAAUCCGUAAAGCAUAGUAGCCUAACAGUUACGUUAUUAAACCAUAUCCUAUUUUCUCUAUUUCGCAUAGCAGUAAUUGCGGGUUUGUUCACAUUGAAGGUUAGAAAGGAAUUUCAUCAUAAGAAGGGUACGUUACAAGACUGCUUUCUAAGGCUCAAGUUUUAUACUCAUCCAAAAAGCUUCCUAGACUAAGCGAGGGCCGCAGAAUGGCCACUCUCUGGGGGUGUCUCCAAAGGCGGCUAUGCAGGAACAUUUAGAAAAGAAGCUUAUAAAUUCAACAUUUAGAAAAGAAGCUUCUAAAUUAGAUAAAGUACAAUGAAACAAGGGAAAAAGCAAUACCACUGGAAUAGAGCGGGGGGCGUGGAAAGGAAGGGGCGAAGAGACCGAGGCGACCAACUCCUUAUGUUGUAGUUACUUGCGCUUAUUAUAACCCUGCUUGUGUCGACUAGAAAUAGAUGAUAAAGCGCUCUCGGGAAAGCAACUGUCCUUACAAAACUAUGCGCUCAUCCCUCUGGCCAAACCGAAUCCUGUUUAUGGGGGGAAAUUCUCCAGCUAUGAAAGUAUGUACUUAGCGCUUCAACGCCCUCUUCUCUUGCUUAUACUUGGCCUCUGAGCUAUGUCAUAUUAUUUGCGAACUCACUACUGCCGUUACUCGUUUUUGCAGGUAAACUCACGGACGCUAAAACACAGCACUUGCGAAUGAAAGCUGGAUGGGUUUGUUAUUCAAUCUAAGUUCUUGUUGACUACUUAAUAUUUCGGGUCAGCUACAAGUCAAUUGGUGUCAACUACAAAUUUCUCAAUUGAACUCUUUUGCAUCGCAUAUCUAUUUCUAAUAGGCAUUUCAAGGGUAUAAGGCACAGGGUCUUGCUUAUUCCGGUACACUAACACUUACUUACAUGGCACCUAAAUCCAUUCUAUUAGCAGGAACAGGAUUCGAAUAAGGGUCUCGCUUAGAACACCGACACAGUUUAGAAAGGCCAUAUACGAUGAAAGAAAAGUAUAACUCCAUUUGCAGAACAGAACAAGCAACGAAGAAUUAAGCCGCCUUAAGAAUUAUUGGGGCUGCUUCCUUUAGCGCUCUGACUUUAGCCUUAACAGAUUAACUGCAUUUUCUCUCUAAGAUUCACCUCGGAUAGAAAGAGACUCGUAUUAAGGGCGCUUCAGAACCCCUGUUGCAAAUGCAAGUGGCUUGUAUAGUAGUUGGUUGGUGGACCCGAAUCCACGGUUAAAGAAAGAAAGUAUGGACUGUAAGCCUAGUUGUCAGCGGUUCUACUCCUAUAUUGAGUAUUUGAAUUACCGUUUUGAGGGAAGUUCUCAUAGUCAGCAAGGUAAGAAUAGAAGAAAGGAAAGUCAGACCUAAUGUCAGUAGCGACAUACUAAUAAUAUGGGGAUAUGUAGUAGAUAUGGAUAUAGGAGAUAUGGGCUGAGAUAAAGCAAUGCCGGGCUAACAGGUUCAAUAGGGGAUCCGCAUCACUAGUCAAAGAGAGUGGAGCAGGGUUCGAAGUUAAUAGAGAAAGGCGAAGUUCCCAGUUAAAGUAUUUGUCAGUUAGCAGUGGAAUCCCUUUUCAUUAUACUAAAGAGUCGUUUGGUUCUAUUAUCCCUAUGCGCUAGGGUCGUGUACCUACCAAUAAUAUAAGCAAUGGACCAACUAGCCAAAGAAUAAGAGGAAGGAAAGGCAUUGCGGAUAUAAAUAAAUAAUAAGAGACAGAAGAGGCAGGUUUGUUAGUAAGUAGUGAAUUCCGGCUAUGAGUUAGACUCUUGUCGGUAUGGUUCAAGUCUCCGGAUCAGUGGUCCAAGCAUGUAAGUAUGGAGUGGAGGAUAGCCAGCUAUUAAUCUAUUCCGUAUAGGGUGAAAAGUGGGGAAUGCUGGAAUCAGGUAAGGGAGAGGCGGCUUUGAAGUCAGUAAAGCGAGUCUUAUCGAAUAGAGUAGUAGUCCACCCUUAGGGGGGCCUUGUUUACCUCCCCACGAAUAGAGUCUUGUUAACAACAGUUCAAUUCUAUCUAAUAAGUUAGCUAUUUCCCCCUUGUUAUCGGCGGGUGUAUUCUUUAUUAAUAGAAGAUCGGAUUAGCCUAGCCCACUAUUAGGGGAGCCUUUUUGCCCUGUUUGCAUUCUUUGUUCUUUGUUGAUCUCAUUCUAUCAGUAGUAGUGAUAUCGGCCUAAUCAUUAGUAGCUCCAUGCCCCGUUAUUGCUACUCAUAUUCUGGAUUAUUGUAUUGAUGGAUUGAAUGUUGACUGUUUAGUUUCACUCUGUCCUAUCUUAGUGAGAGACCCUAACAUUUCCAACCUAGCGCUAUUGAAAUCAAUGCUCUUACAUAAGAAUAAGUAGAUCUCUGUGCGCGUCCCUUGUGUUCCUCUAAUUCUGAAUGACCCUCCUUUGCUUUCAACCUACCUCUCUUCUCUCUUUGGUUACCUACUUCUAGAAACAACCGAACUAUCUUUGCCUACGCCACUGAGUCAGAUACUGAUCCCCUGCUUCAAAUCCAGCAAUUGAUCAGCUUCAUAUCCAGCUAUUGAUCUCAUGAAAAAACAAACUCGAACUUCUUCUUCUGCGGAUACAUCUCCUUCAGAUUCUGCUCAUUCUUCUUGUUCUGUAUGGGAUGAAACAAGCACUGCGGAUUCUUCAACUCAAGAUUCUACCUUUGCUUCAAAACAAACUCUUUAUCCUGACUCUUUACUUGCAUACCCGCCUUUAAUGCUUUGGGUUUUACCACUUAGCGCUUCCUUACCUGUAAGAUAUUAUGAUCCAGCUCCCAGGCUCCUUCUUGUGCUUCAAAACAGGUUAUUGCUGGCUCUAAAUCAUAUGCACCACUUACUUAAUAUAGAAGAGAGUCACUGGUCACCUCAACUACACUUGAAGAACAUUGCCGCUCGUCGCCAACAACAAGAACAGAUGAACCCAGCUUGCCAGUCCUCUCCUUACAUAGCAAAACUAUACCACAAGGAGCGGAUCUGGCUUCUUCAACUGCUCUAACAGAUUCCUUUGGAACAACAUCUGAUCAGGACCCGGAUCCAGCAUACAGCCAAUACAUCACCUCACUCCACUUUAGUACACCCACCGCUUGCUGUUUACUUGGACAACCUGCUUGCUGCUGAAGACAAGACUUAACGGCAACACCUUUACUUACAGCUAAAGAGACUUAUUCUGAUCCAGCUGAAAUCUAUCUUAUUCUCUGUCUCCCUUGUCGCCACCCGACCCGACCUCAACUUCAAGUUCAGAACUACUUCUUGCUGACUUCACCUAUUCUUCUUAAUAGGCUUCAGAGGAUAGAGAAAAGUCAAACAAAACUUCCCUGUCCCGCUUAAAGCUUUUGCACCGCAACACUUUCACCUCACUCGUAGACAAACACAGAAACAUCAUUUAUAUAUAUUGAUCCUGCAAAAACGCCUGAUUUCUCCUGAAAUUCAUAAUUGAGAGCUGAUGGUGCACCCAUCUAUUAUAUAGAACAAACCUAACUCGAAACUCCAAGUCUAGCUUCUUGUGAUAGUUUAGGUUAUAGUCGUUCUGUUCUAUGCUUGAUCGGAUGAGUGUCUGGCUGGGCGUCUUUCUGGAUUAUUAGCAUGGAUGCAACUAUUUUGUCACCGGGUUGUGCUUUGCCGGAAGUUAGUACUUUGUUAAUUCUCAAAUCCAUAUUUCCUCCUACGGAAUUAGUUCGGUGAAGUAAAUAACCCGGCAAUCGAAAGGCCCCACGUAACGGGAUCGGUGUUCAAGGUUGGAUUGAUAUUUGCAGAGAGCAGCGGAAAGGCAUCCUCUAAGCCAUUCUUCAGCUUGAGACCCGAAUCAACUCAUUCAUUCCGGCCUCGUUCUGAGCCAUUUAGAGUGCCAAUCUCAGGACAGGACUCCAUUCGCUCUCGUUCAAAUCUUAGAAAUAGAAUAGCCUUACUUCUUUCAUUGAUGGGGUAUUAGACUCCAUUUGAAUAAUAUCUCUGAAAUCUACCAUUUUAUGCGGUAUUAGACUCUAUUUUCUAGAAAGAAAUCUCUGAAAUCUACAAUUGAUGGGGAAUUGACUCGGUAAAGCAUCUUAUUCAAUAAGCCAAUAAGCAAAGAAGCAGCUUCUCAUUCUUUUGCUUCCAAAACUCAUAUCUAUCAUAGGCCCGAAACACUCAUCUGUUUGCUUGUUCUCGUACACGCCCCCAAAUAAGAGAAGUAACCUAACACUAAACUCUUAAAGCGAGUUGGAAGUUCCAUUUCUUAUCGAGCACGCAGUUAAGGGUGUUUGGCAGGAAAUGGGGGUUUGCUAUGGUUUCUGAUUCUUAGGUUUAUACAUCUUAUCCUCUAUCUCUCUCAUAUUGUAAGCCUUUGUUCCUGAACUUUAGGAGUCCUCCAUCUUAUCUUAACCCGUUAUACUUGGAUUUAUCACUCACUCAUCGAUAAGCAGUGUUGUUAAUCAAUCAAUUAUAGAAGAAAGAUGUAAUGUGCUUCUCU